GUGGGGAAUAUUGGACAAUGGGCGAAAGCCUGAUCCAGCCAUGCCGCGUGUGUGAAUAAGGUCUUCGGAUUGUAAAGCACUUUAAGUUGGGAGGAAGGGUAGUAACCUAAUACGUUGCUACUUUGACGUUACCGACAGAAUAAGCACCGGCUAACUUCGUGCCAGCAGCCGCGGUAAUACGAAGGGUGCAAGCGUUAAUCGGAAUUACUGGGCGUAAAGCGCGCGUAGGUGGUUCAGUAAGUUGGAAGUGAAAUCCCCGGGCUCAACCUGGGAACUGCUUUCAAAACUGCUGAGCUAGAGUACGGUAGAGGGUAGUGGAAUUUCCUGUGUAGCGGUGAAAUGCGUAGAUAUAGGAAGGAACACCAGUGGCGAAGGCGACUACCUGGACUGAUACUGACACUGAGGUGCGAAAGCGUGGGGAGCAAACAGGAUUAGAUACCCCGGUAGUCC
rnacentral:rRNA from 1 species